rnacentral:tRNA from 1 species
GGCUUUAUAAUCAAAAUUAUGAUAUUAGAUUGCAAAUCUAAAAGUGUAUUUUAUAUACUAAGGCUU